UACGGAGGGAGCUAGCGUUGUUCGGAAUUACUGGGCGUAAAGCGCGCGUAGGCGGCUUUGUAAGUUAGAGGUGAAAGCCCGGGGCUCAACCCCGGAAUUGCCUUUAAGACUGCAUCGCUUGAAUCCGGGAGAGGUGAGUGGAAUUCCGAGUGUAGAGGUGAAAUUCGUAGAUAUUCGGAAGAACACCAGUGGCGAAGGCGCUCACUGGACCGGCAUUGACGCUGAGGUGCGAAAGCGUGGGGGAGCAAACAGG
rnacentral:rRNA from 1 species